AGGCUGGAGUGCUGUGGCGUGAUCUUGGCUCAAUGUAACCUCUGCCUCCUGGGUUCAAGCAAUUCUCCUGCCUCAGCCUCCCUAGUAUGGGACUACAGGUCGCAUCCUGAGUCUCAGCUGGCAUCCCUCUGGUACCCACAUUGCAGCUGGUUCCAUAGACUACAUUAGUGUGUUUGAUGUCAAAUCAGGCAGCGCUGUUCAUAAGAUGAUUGUGGACAGGCAGUAUAUGGGCGCGUCUAAGCGGAAGUGCAUCGUGUGGGGUGUCGCCUUCUUGUCCGAUGGCACUGUCAUAAGUGUGGACUCUGCUGGGAAGGUGCAGUUCUGGGACUCAGCCACUGGGACGCUUGUGAAGAGCCAUCUCAUCGCUAAUGCUGAUGUGCAGUCCAUUGCUGUAGCUGACCAAGAAGACAGUUUCGUGGUGGGCACAGCCGAGGGAACAGUCUUCCAUUUUCAGCUGGUCCCUGUGACAUCUAACAGCAACGAGAAGCAGUGGGUGCGGACAAAACCGUUCCAGCAUCACACUCAUGACGUGCGCACCGUGGCCCACAGCCCAACAGCGCUGAUAU
rnacentral:sRNA from 1 species